rnacentral:rRNA from 1 species
GAUGAACGCUGACGGCGUGCCUAAUACAUGCAAGUCGAGCGAACGGACGAGAAGCUUGCUUCUCUGAUGUUAGCGGCGGACGGGUGAGUAACACGUGGAUAACCUACCUAUAAGACUGGGAUAACUUCGGGAAACCGGAGCUAAUACCGGAUAAUAUUUUGAACCGCAUGGUUCAAAAGUGAAAGACGGUCUUGCUGUCACUUAUAGAUGGAUCCGCGCUGCAUUAGCUAGUUGGUAAGGUAACGGCUUACCAAGGCAACGAUGCAUAGCCGACCUGAGAGGGUGAUCGGCCACACUGGAACUGAGACACGGUCCAGACUCCUACGGGAGGCAGCAGUAGGGAAUCUUCCGCAAUGGGCGAAAGCCUGACGGAGCAACGCUGCGUGAGUGAUGAAGGUCUUCGGAUCGUAAAACUCUGUUAUUAGGGAAGAACAUAUGUGUAAGUAACUGUGCACAUCUUGACGGUACCUAAUCAGAAAGCCACGGCUAACUACGUG